rnacentral:rRNA from 1 species
GACGAACGCUGGCGGCGUGCUUAACACAUGCAAGUCGAACGGAAAGGCCCUGCUUUUGUGGGGUGCUCGAGUGGCGAACGGGUGAGUAACACGUGAGUAACCUGCCCUUGACUUUGGGAUAACUUCAGGAAACUGGGGCUAAUACCGGAUAGGAGCUCCUGCUGCAUGGUGGGGGUUGGAAAGUUUCGGCGGUUGGGGGUGGACUCGCGGCUUAUCAGCUUGUUGGUGGGGUAGUGGCUUACCAAGGCUUUGACGGGUAGCCGGCCUGAGAGGGUGACCGGCCACAUUGGGACUGAGAUACGGCCCAGACUCCUACGGGAGGCAGCAGUGGGGAAUAUUGCACAAUGGGCGGAAGCCUGAUGCAGCAACGCCGCGUGCGGGAUGACGGCCUUCGGGUUGUAAACCGCUUUCGCCUGUGACGAAGCGUGAGUGACGGUAAUGGGUAAAGAAGCACCGGCCAACUACGUG